rnacentral:rRNA from 1 species
GUCCACGCUGUAAACGAUGAGAACUAGAUGUUGGUAGGCAUGACCUAUUAGUAUCGAAGCUAACGCGAUAAGUUCUCCGCCUGGGGAGUACGACCGCAAGGUUAAAACUCAAAGGAAUUGACGGGGGCCCGCACAAGCGGUGGAGCAUGUGGUUUAAUUCGAUGCAACGCGAAGAACCUUACCUACCCUUGACAUCCUAAGAAUCCUGUAGAGAUACGGGAGUGCCGAAAGGAACUUAGAGACAGGUGCUGCAUGGCUGUCGU